rnacentral:rRNA from 1 species
AUUGAACGCUGGCGGCAUGCCUUACACAUGCAAGUCGAACGGUAACAGGUCUUCGGAUGCUGACGAGUGGCGAACGGGUGAGUAAUACAUCGGAACGUGCCCGAGAGUGGGGGAUAACGAGGCGAAAGCUUUGCUAAUACCGCAUACGAUCUCAGGAUGAAAGCAGGGGACCGCAAGGCCUUGCGCUCACGGAGCGGCCGAUGGCAGAUUAGGUAGUUGGUGGGAUAAAAGCUUACCAAGCCGACGAUCUGUAGCUGGUCUGAGAGGACGACCAGCCACACUGGGACUGAGGCACGGCCCAGACUCCUACGGGAGGCAGCAGUGGGGAAUUUUGGACAAUGGGCGCAAGCCUGAUCCAGCCAUGCCGCGUGCAGGAAGAAGGCCUUCGGGUUGUAAACUGCUUUUGUACGGAACGAAACGGCCUGGGUUAAUACCCUGGGCUAAUGACGGUACCGUAAGAAUAAGCACCGGCUAACUACGUGCCAGCAGCCGCCGUAAGAC